GGUAGUCAUUGGCACAAUGGCUGAAAGUCAGGAGACACAGGCAGGAAAAGCAAUGUUUUUGCCACCAGGCCACACACUUUACAAGAAGUCUUUAAUGCUAUGUGCCUGUGAUGCUGCUACAAGGCAUUCUGCAAAGUCGUACUGAAACCCUUUUUCACCUACAAGAGUAAGCAGAAAUUCACUUCUAGCAAUUAUUAAGCAGUGUAAAGUGAUGCAUUUUGCAAAGUUAAAUCUGAAGGGAGAAUACAGGCUUAAUGGCAGAAUUCUUAGGAGUAUGGAGGAACACAGGGAUAACAAGCAUGAAAAAAUCUGCAGAUACUGGAAAUCCAAGCAACAUACACAAAUUGCUGGAGGAACUCAGCAGGCCAGGCAGUAUCUAUGGAAAAGAUUGAACAGUCAACGUAUCAGCCUGAGACCCUUCUUCAGGACUUGGAAAAGAAGAUGAGAAGUCAGGAGAUAGUGUGGAACAGGUUCUUCCAGCCCAUCAAGCUGCACUGCCCAGCAACCAACGUAUUUAACACUAGCUGAAUCAGUUCACAAUGAUCAAUUAACCUACUAACCGGUACAUCUUUGGCCUAUGGGAGGACACCGGAGAACCUGGAGGAAACCCACACGGCUCACUGGGAGAAGGUGCAAACUCCUUACAGACGGCGCUGGAAUUCAACUCCAAACUCCGAUGCCCUGAGUUGUAAUAGUGUCAUGCUGACUGCCACGCUACCUUGGCACCCAUUUAGACCAUAAGACAAUAAGACCACAAGACAUAGGAGCAGAAUUAGGCUAUUCAGCCCAUCAAGUCUAUUCUAUCAUUUGAUCAUGGCUGACUUAUUUUCCAUCUCAACCCCAUUCUGCUGCAUCCUCCCAUAAUUUUGGACACCCUGACUAAUUUGAAUGUUUGAGAAACAUAAAACUACAUUUAGGACUUGGAACAUAGAACAGCUAAUAAGUUAAUUAGUUCAUGUUGUGGGCUCUUGGUUUCCUCAAAUAGGAACAUCGAACUUAGAGCACAGGAACAGGACCUUUGGCCCACAGUGUUGUGCUGAACCAAUUAAAUUAGUAAUCAAAUGGUCAACCAAACCAAUCUCUUGUACCUACACAAUGGCCAUAUCCUUCCAUUCAUGUGCCUAUCUAAAUGUCUCUUAAAAGUCCCUAAUGUGUCUGCCAUUACCUUGAGCAGUGCAUUUCACGCACCCAUCACUCUCUGUGUAAAGAAAACUUGCCCCUCACAGCUCCUUUGAACUUACCCCCUCUUACCUUAAAUGCAUGCCCUCUGGUAUUUGAAUUUUCUGUACUGGGAAAAAGAUACCGUCUACCCCCACUAUCUUGAGCCCCUCCACUGGUCAGGGUCGACCAUUGAUAUUGCAUCUCAGCACUCGACAUGAUACACAAGCCAAGACAGUACAAUACGGAGAGCAAGCUGUUCCCCAUGCAAUAGGCUCCCCCUCUCCACGUUGCUGAUGAAUCCAAAGGAAUGGCAGAGACUGAUAACAGUUUGGAACCAGUGCUGUCUCAAGAGUUGCCAGUCAGUGUUGAACUCAAUGUCGGACUGCCUUAGGGACUCCAACUCAGGAUUUUUCCUUGGGGUUUACUCCAGAAGCCUUUCCCUUGAAUGGGUAUAGCCACAAAGCAGUGGAAGUUUGAGAUCAGAGAUGUUCUUCGACUAGAUAAGCUGCCAUCCGUGGCUGACGAGCCCCCUCUGCCCGGAGCGACUGGUUUUAAGGUGCCAGUAACUGACCCUUACCCCUUCUCCUGUCAGUUGAAAUGGUUCUGCCGGACUUAGUACCUGAACCACACCUGAAAGCCAGGAGCUGGUCUUGAUUGUCAGAAGCUAUUUGAGAUGCACACUAUAGGGAGCAUUUAACAGUUAGUGGGAGCUAAUCCCCACUACCUCCCUCAGCUAUGACAACCUUAAUCAACCUACUGUAUCUAUGCCAAUCAUAAUCUCAUAAACCUCUAUCAGGUCUCCCCUCAGCCUCCACCUUUCCAGAGAAAACAACCCAAAUUUUUCCAACCUCUUCUUAUAGCACAUGUUCCCUAAUCCAGGCAGCAUCCCGGUAAACCUCUUAUGCAGUCUCCCCAAAGCCUCAACACCCUUCCUGUAAUGGGGUGACCAGAACUUGCCAUUGUUACAUUGGAAGUUUCAGGGUGGUCCAGUGGUUAUUGGAAUAACAGCCUCAUCUGUAUUUCAAUGAGCGACAACAAUGUUAAAAAAUAAAUAACUGGAACAGCCAAUCAACCCAUCAAAGCAACUCCUUAUAGUCAUAGUCAUAGUCAUACUUUAUUAAUCCCGGGGGAAAUUGAUUAUGUGUGAAUACAUAAGGACAGACCACAGUGGUCAGGCUUCACCUCAACAGGUUUAGCAAGAACAGGCAGAGGUUAAGGUUGCAGUCAUUUGGAAUCAUUUAGUUGGUUGUGGAAUUUAAUAUUAUGGGUUAGAGUUAACGGUAGAACAAGUGUAUGCAGAAUGGUAAUUAAGGCACUGGAAUGCUCCUCCUGUAAGAUGUGGGAUUGCAGGGUUCCUAACGGUCUCCUUGUUGACUAAAUCUGCAGGAAGUGUAUCCAACUUCAGCUCCUGACUGACAAGGUCAAAGAACUGGAGCUGGAUGUACGCAGAAGUCUGUACUUCCGGAAGUCUAUAAGCCUCCUCGUAGAUGAGACUUUUACUCAGAUGCUCACAGCCAGAGUGCCAGCUUCAGUUGGUAAAUGGGUGACCACCAGGAGAAGUAAGAGGAGUCAGCAGUUACUGCAGGGUUUCCCUCAGCAACGAGUAUACCCCUGUGAAUACUGCUGGGGGAGAGGGUGCAGCAGCAGCGGGGCCCGUGACACUGUGGCCAGCUCUGAGAUUUCGCAGCGAAGCGUAAACUCAAGUAGAGCGAUAAAAUUGGGAAGCUGAUAGGGAGACAGACAGGAGAUUCUGUGGCUAUUAAAGAGAUGCUAGGACGGUGUGUUGCCUCCAAGGCAUUUAGGUCAAGGGC